GAUGAACGCUAGCGGCAGGCUUAAUACAUGCAAGUCGAGGGGCAGCGCGAGUAGCAAUACUUGGCGGCGACCGGCGCACGGGUGCGUAACGCGUAUGCAACCUACCUUUAACUGGAGAAUAGCCUCGAGAAAUCGGGAUUAAUACUCCAUAACAUUGCGAAGAGGCAUCUCUUUGCAAUUAAAGCUUCGGCGGUUAAAGAUGGGCAUGCGUGACAUUAGCUAGUUGGUGAGGUAACGGCUCACCAAGGCUACGAUGUCUAGGGGUUCUGAGAGGAUUAUCCCCCACACUGGUACUGAGACACGGACCAGACUCCUACGGGAGGCAGCAGUAAGGAAUAUUGGGCAAUGGACGAAAGUCUGACCCAGCCAUGCCGCGUGCAGGAUUGAAGGCCCUAUGGGUCGUAAACUGCUUUUAUACAGGAAAAUGACCUGGUCGUGACCGGGUUUGAUGGUACUGUACGAAUAAGCAUCGGCUAACUCCGUGCC
rnacentral:rRNA from 1 species